rnacentral:rRNA from 1 species
UCCUGCCGGACCUGACUGCUAUCGGAUUGAUACUAAGCCAUGCGAGUCAUUGUAGCAAUACAAGGCAUACGGCUCAGUAACGCGUAGUCAACCUACCCUAUGGACGGGAAUAACCUCGGGAAACUGAGUAUAAUGCCCGAUAGAACAUUAUGCCUGGAAGGGUUUAUGUUCCAAAUGAUUUAUCGCCGUAGGAUGGGACUGCGGCCUAUCAGUUUGUUGGUGAGGUAAUGGCCCACCAAGACUAUUACAGGUACGGGCUCUGAGAGGAGUAGCCCGGAGAUGGGUACUGAGACACGGACCCAGGCCCUAUGGGGCGCAGCAGGCGAGAAAACUUUGUAAUGUGCGAAAGCACGACAAGGUUAAUCCGAGUGGUUUCUGCUAAAGGAACCUUUUGUUAGUCCUAAAAACACUAACGAAUAAGGGGUGGGCAAGUUCUGGUGUCAGCCGCCGCGGUAAAACCAGCACCUCAAGUGGUCAGGAUGAUUAUUGGGCCUAAAGCAUCCGUAGCCUGCUCUGUAAGUUUUCGGUUAAAUCUGUAUGCUCAACAUACAGGCCGCCGGGAAUACUGCAGAGCUAGGGAGUGGGAGAGGUAGACGGUACUCGGGAGGAAGUGGUAAAAUGCUUUGAUCUCUCGAUGACCACCUGUGGCGAAGGCGGUCUACCAGAACACGUCCGACGGUGAGGGAUGAAAGCUGGGGGAGCAAACCGGAUUAGAUACCCGGGUAGUCCCAGCCGUAAACUAUGCAAACUCAGUGAUGCAUUGGCUUUUGGCCAAUGCAGUGUUGCACGGAAGCCGUUAAGUUUGCCGCCUGGGAAGUACGUACGCAAGUAUGAAACUUAAAGGAAUUGGCGGGG